rnacentral:rRNA from 1 species
UACGAAGGGGGCUAGCGUUGUUCGGAUUAACUGGGCGUAAAGCGUGCGUAGGCGGGUUUUUAAGUCAGGGGUGAAAUCCCAAGGCUCAACCUUGGAACUGCCUUUGAUACUGGAAAUCUUGAGUCCGGGAGAGGUGAGUGGAACUGCGAGUGUAGAGGUGAAAUUCGUAGAUAUUCGCAAGAACACCAGUGGCGAAGGCGGCCAACUGGACGAAUACUGACGCUGAGACUCGAAAGCGUGGGGAGCAAACAGG